UACAGAGGUCCCAAGCGUUGUUCGGAUUCACUGGGCGUAAAGGGUGCGUAGGCGGUCGGGUAAGUCUGAUGUGAAAUCUCACAGCUUAACUGUGAAACUGCAUUGGAUACUAUCCGGCUCGAGGAAUGGAGGGGAGACUGGAAUACUUGGUGUAGCAGUGAAAUGCGUAGAUAUCAAGUGGAACACCAGUGGCGAAGGCGAGUCUCGUGGACAUUUCCUGACGCUGAGGCACGAAAGCCAGGGGAGCAAACGGG
rnacentral:rRNA from 1 species